rnacentral:rRNA from 1 species
AUUGAACGCUGGCGGCAGGCCUAACACAUGCAAGUCGAACGAGUGGCGGACGGGUGGGUAAUGUCUGGGAAACUGCCCGAUGGAGGGGGAUGAGUACUGGAAACGGUGGAUAAUACCGCAUACGAUGGGAUGUGCCCAGAUGGGAGUAGCUAGUAGGUGGGGUAACGGCUCACCUAGGCGACGAUCCCUAGCUGGUCUGAGAGGGUGACCAGCCACACUGGAACUGAGACACGGCCCAGACUCCUACGGGAGGCAGCAGUAGGGAAUCUUGCGCAAUGGUCGAAAGCCUGAUGCAGCCAUGCCGCGUGUAUGAAGAAGGCUUUCGGGUUGUAAAGUACUUUCAUCGGGGAGGCGUUACUCGCAGAGGAAGCACCGGCUAACUCCGUGCCAGCAGCCGCGGUAAUUC